rnacentral:rRNA from 1 species
AUACGAAGGAUGCAAGCGUUAAUCGGAAUCACUGGGCGUAAAGCGCACGUAGGCGGCGAGAUAAGUCGGGCGUGAAAGCCCUCGGCCCAACCGAGGAAUUGCGUUCGAUACUGUUUGGCUUGAGUCCUGGAGAGGGUGGCGGAAUUCCGGGUGUAGGAGUGAAAUCCGUAGAUAUCCGGAGGAACACCGGUGGCGAAGGCGGCCACCUGGACAGGUACUGACGCUGAGGUGCGAAAGCGU